CAUACCGAGCACCCAGCUCAGCCUGCAAUUCUGAACCCUGGAAUUUCAAGAGGGCUCUCAAGGUGUCCAAACAUCCUCUUUCCUGCUGUUGUGAGCAAUCUCCAUUCAGGGCGACAGCUGGAAGGGAAAACCCGGAGUGUCAGCAGACCAGUCAGAAACUAAGGCCCUGAAAAAUGCAUUAAGGAGAUGGGCAGUUCUCAGAAGGACCCUCAACCCCUCGCCGGGAUAAGAUGCCUUGUUCCUGUCCAACUGAGAGGUUGUGAGAGGGAAAGUCCCACGGAGCUGCUGCCCAGGGAGCUGGCCUUGGGCGAAGGGAUCUUCCUGCCAAGCCAGUGCCAGGAAGAGUCCCGGCUCACCUCCCUCUGUGGCCCAAGCUGGAGCAGUGAUGAGUGCUGGGCUCUCCCAAGGCCUUUGUCUGUUCCAGGUGAGGGGCUGGGGUCCAGGAGGGGCACUGGGUCCUUGGAAAGGGAGAGGAAGAUGAAGGCAGGAAUGAAAAGAAACUGGCCUUCUGCACUCAAAAAGGCAUCUUUCCAUGCAGAAACAAUGCCAGACACACUCAGCCAUUUCAUCUUCGAUGAA